rnacentral:hammerhead_ribozyme from 1 species
CGCCGAAACCCGGACUUGAGCCGGGUCUGCCCAGGAUGACGCCCUGGGCACUGACGAGGCAAGUCAGU